UGCACAGACAACCAGGAUGUUGGCUUAGAAGCAGCCACUCAUUUAAAGAGUGCGUAAUAGCUCACUGGUCGAGUGAUCCUGCGCCGAAAAUUUCCGGGGCUAAAACGUACUACCGAAGCUACGGCAUCAUUUAUGAUGGGUAGGGGAGCUUCGUAUGCAGGCUGAAGCAUGACCGUAAGGACAUGUGGACAGUAUACGAGUGAGAAUGUUGGCAUGAGUAGCGAGACGUGGGUGAGAAUCCCACGGGCCGUAAACCCAAGGUUUCCAGGGGAAGGUUCGUCCGCCCUGGGUUAGUCGGGACCUAAGCCGAGGCCGAAAGGCGUAGGUGAUGGACAACAGGUUGAUAUUCCUGUACCGCCAAUAAGCGUUUGAGAGAUGGAGUGACACAGUAGGAUAAGCUAACCGUACUGUUGGUUAUGUACGGCUAAGCAUUGAGGCAGUCUAAAUAGGCAAAUCCGUUUAGACAAUGCUAGGAUGUGAUGGGGAAGCCCUUCGGGGCGAAGUAGCUGAUUUCACACUGUCAAGAAAAGCUUCUAUCGAGUUUAAAGGCGCCCGUACCGUAAACCGACACAGGUGGGUGAGGAGAGUAUCCUAAGGCCAGCGAGAGAACUAUUGUUAAGGAACUCGGCAAAAUGACCCCGUAACUUAGGGAGAAGGGGUGCCUGUCUAUGACAGGCCGCAGAGAAUAGGCCCAAGCGACUGUUUACCAAAAACACAGGUUUCUGCUAAGUCGCAAGACGAUGUAUAGGAGCUGACGCCUGCCCGGUGCUGGAAGGUUAAGGGGAUCUGUUAGAGCAAUCGAAGCAGUGAACUUAAGCCCCAGUAAACGGCGGCCGUAACUAUAACGGUCCUAAGGUAGCGAAAUUCCUUGUCGGGUAAGUUCCGACCCGCACGAAAGGCGUAACGAUUUGGGCACUGUCUCAACAAUAGACUCGGUGAAAUUGUAAUCCCGGUGAAGAUGCCGGGUACCUGCGACAGGACGGAAAGACCCCAUGGAGCUUUACUGUAGCUUGACGUUGGGUCUUGGUACUACAUGUACAGGAUAGGUGGGAGACUAUGAAGCAUGGACGCCAGUCUGUGUGGAGUCAUCCUUGGGAUACCACCCUUGUAGUACUGGGAUCCUAACCAUAGGCCUUGAAUCAGGUCUUGGAACACCGUCAGGUGGGCAGUUUGACUGGGGCGGUCGCCUCCUAAAAAGUAACGGAGGCGCUCAAAGGUUUCCUCAGCACGGUCGGAAAUCGUGCGAAGAGUGUAAAGGCAAAAGGAAGCUUGAUUGCAAGACAUACAGGUCGAGCAAGGACGAAAGUCGGACUUAGUGAUCCGGUGGUACCGCAUGGAAGGGCCAUCGCUCAACGGAUAAAAGCUACCCUGGGGAUAACAGGCUUAUCUCCCCCAAGAGUCCACAUCGACGGGGAGGUUUGGCACCUCGAUGUCGGCUCAUCACAUCCUGGGGCUGUAGUAGGUCCCAAGGGUUGGGCUGUUCGCCCAUUAAAGUGGUACGCGAGCUGGGUUCAGAACGUCGUGAGACAGUUCGGUCCCUAUCCGUCGCAGGCGUAGGAAAUUUGAGAAGACCUGUCCUUAGUACGAGAGGACCGGGAUGGACGUACCUCUGGUGUACCAGUUGUUCUGCCAAGGGCAUGGCUGGGUAGCUAUGUACGGAAUGGAUAAGCGCUGAAAGCAUCUAAGCGCGAAGCCAACUUCAAGAUAAGAUUUCCCACCGUAAGGGUAAGACCCCAGGAAGACUACCUGGUUGAUAGGUCGAAGGUGUAAGUGCAGUAAUGUAUUUAGCUUAUCGAUACUAAUAGGUCGAGGACUUGACCAA
rnacentral:rRNA from 1 species